UCCCUUCCAAUCGAUACCACAGUUGAGGUAGUUAAGAAUAUGUGAUGCCUUUCGGGAAUCAUUCACUUAUUCUUCCUGCCUCACCUGUGACGAUGGAAUCGGA
rnacentral:pre_miRNA from 1 species